GCCAAAAAUAAUAAAUGAAGUGUUAAUAACAGCACGCUUCCAUUCAACCUCAGGGGAGGUUAGUCUAAUUUACCCCCAAUGAGUUUCUCUCUAUCUACUCGACGAGCUGAGUUUUGCUUUGGUCAUCUAAUAUAGAUCUCUCUCUGUCUCUCUCUCUCUUUCUGUGCGCGCGUAAAACAGCCAAUCAUGGCGUUGAACAACGGUCUGAGAUCGUGCGCCUCGAAGCUGCGCAUUUCAACCGAGUUAUUUCUUUCCAAAUCAGUGAAUAGGGGGUUCCAUUCAACAGGCGUGAAGAGGAUGGGGGGAGGGCAUGGCCAUGGCCAUGAUGAACCAUACUACCUUCAUGCAAAACACAUGUACAACUUGGAUAGAAUGAAGCAUCAGCAGCUGAAGAUGAGCCUAGCUGUCUUCACUGCUUUCAGCAUUGGUGUUGCAGUACCUGUUUAUGCUGUCAUCUUCCAGCAAAAGAAAACUGCUUCUGCGUAGCUCUCUAUCUCAUCUCUCUGCUGCUAUAAUAGAUGCCGCUUUGAAAUGCCUUGUGUUUGACUAUAGGCUGUAAGAGUUGAACAUUGUGACCGGGUUCAUGUCAUUGUAGCAGCAAAACGAAUUUGUAUUGCAAAUUGUCGUGUGUAUUCUUCUUAGGUGUAAAUCAACGGCUUCUAAUUGUUGGUGACAACCAUAAGCUGCUGCAGGGGUGUGACAUGUUUUAGCAGACUUCAUUCCUCUUUCUUCUAAUCAUAGCUUGUGAAUUGUCAAUUGUGCAAAGAAGUUUAAAAUCUUUUUUUUUUCUCUCUCUGUGGAUACUGUGCCAACAAUGGAUUUGAUUUUUUAUGUUGUAAUGGAUAUAUAUAUAUAUUUUGUAAUUUCAAUUUUUGGGUAACCUAUCCCUUGCGGGUUGUGUUUGGGAUUAAUUAUUUUCUUUGCUACUUGUUGAAUUUUCUUAUGUGUGUGGGUUGCUGGACAGAUUAUAUAUAUUGGCAGAUUAUGUUGAAUUUUUUAAGUUCUUUGUGAUA